UUAAAAAGCCGUUGCGAGUUACUGCUUCGAACCUGGUCAGGAUGGAAACAUAGCAGCCAUAAGAUGAUUUGUAAUUGUGCGACGGUUUUUAUUUUG
rnacentral:SRP_RNA from 1 species